rnacentral:rRNA from 1 species
UACGUAGGGGGCAAGCGUUGUCCGGAAUCAUUGGGCGUAAAGAGCGUGUAGGCGGCCCGAUAAGUCCGCCGUGAAAGUCCAGGGCUCAACCCUGGAAUGCCGGUGGAUACUGUCGGGCUAGAGUCCGGAAGGGGCGAGUGGAAUUCCUGGUGUAGCGGUGAAAUGCGCAGAUAUCAGGAGGAACACCGGUGGUGUAGACGGCUUUCUGGACCGUAACUGACGCUGAGACACGAAAGCGUGGGUAGCAAACAGG